rnacentral:rRNA from 1 species
AUACGGAGGGGACUAGCGUUGUUCGGAAUUACUGGGCGUAAAGAGUACGUAGGCGGUCUAUCAAGUUGGGUGUGAAAGCCCGGGGCUCAACCCCGGAACUGCACUCAAAACUGAUAAACUAGAGAUCGGAAGAGGUAAGUGGAAUUCCCAGUGUAGAGGUGAAAUUCGUAGAUAUUGGGAAGAACACCAGUGGCGAAGGCGGCUUACUGGUCCGAGACUGACGCUGAGGUACGAAAGCGUGGGGAGCAAACAGGAUUAGAUACCCUAGUAGUCC